GUGGCAGCCGCCGCGCUAAUACGAAGGGGGCGAGCGUUAUUCGGAAUCACUGGGCGUAAAGCGUGCGUAGGUGGCUUCGCAAGUUAGGAGUGAAAGCCCAGGGCUUAACCCUGGAAUUGCUCUUAAAACUGCAAAGCUCGAAUCUCGGAGAGGAUAGCGGAAUUUCCAGUGUAGCAGUGAAAUGCGUAGAUAUUGGAAGGAACACCAGUGGCGUAAGCGGCUAUCUGGACGAGUAUUGCCACUGAGGCACGAAAGCGUGGGGAUCAAACAGGAUUAGAUACCCUGGUAGUCCACGCCGUAAACGAUGUGUGCUUGUCGUUGGGAGGUUCACCUCUAAGUGACGCAGCUAACGCGUUAAGCCCACCGCCUGGAAGUACUGGCGCAAGUUAAAACUCAAAGGAAUUGACGG
rnacentral:rRNA from 1 species